CCUGCCCUAAGGAAGGGGAUAACCUCGGGAAACUGAGGAUAAUACCCUAUAGGAUACCGAUGCUGGAAUGCCCGGUAUCCCAAAGCUCCGGCGCCUUAGGAUGGGUCUGCGGCCGAUUAGGUCGUUGUUGGGGUAACGGCCCCAACAAGCCGAUAAUCGGUACGGGUUGUGAGAGCAAGAGCCCCGGAGUUGGAUUCUGAGACACGAAUCCAGGCCCUACGGGGCGCAGCAGGCGCGAAAACUUUACAAUGCGGGCAACCGUGAUAAGGGAACCUCGAGUGCCUGUACAUGCAGGCUGUCUGGGUGUCUAAAACACACCCAAAGAAAGGGCCGGGCAAGACCGGUGCCAGCCGCCGCGGUAAUACCGGCGGCUCGAGUGGUGGCCACUUUUAUUGGGCUUAAAGCGUUCGUAGCUGGGUUGUUAAGUCUCUUGGGAAAUCUGGCAGCUUAACUGUCAGGCGUCUAAGAGAUACUGGCAAUCUAGGAACCGGGAGAGGUGAGGGGUACUUCGGGGGUAGGAGUGAAAUCCUGUAAUCCUCGAGGGACCACCUGUGGCGAAGGCGCCUCACCAGAACGGCUUCGACAGUGAGGGACGAAAGCUGGGGGAGCAAACCGGAUUAGAUACCCGGGUAGUCCCAGCCGUAAACGAUGCGCGUUAGGUGUGUCGAUGACCACGAGUCAUCGAGGUGCCGAAGGGAAACCGUGAAACGCGCCGCCUGGGAAGUACGGUCGCAAGGCUGAAACUUAAAGGAAUUGGCGGGGGAGCAC
rnacentral:rRNA from 1 species